rnacentral:rRNA from 1 species
CGGGGGACGCGCUUGCGCGUCCCGCCGGCGACCGGCGCACGGGUGAGUAACACGUAUGCAACCUGCCCCCGCCAGGGGUACAACCCUCCGAAAGGGGGGCUGAUACCGCGUACAUCCCCUGGGGGCAUCCCCGGGGGAGGAAAGCCCUUUUGGGCGGGCGGGGAUGGGCAUGCGGCGCAUUAGGAAGACGGCGGUGUGACGGACCACCGUUCCGACGAUGCGUAGGGGUUCUGAGAGGAAGGCCCCCCACACUGGUACUGAGACACGGACCAGACUCCUACGGAAGGCAGCAG